UACAGAGGUCCCAAGCGUUGUUCGGAUUCACUGGGCGUAAAGGGUGCGUAGGCGGUCGGGUAAGUCUGAUGUGAAAUCUCACAGCUUAACUGUGAAACUGCAUUGGAUACUAUCCGGCUAGAGGAAUGGAGGGGAGACUGGAAUACUUGGUGUAGCAGUGAAAUGCGUAGAUAUCAAGUGGAACACCAGUGGCGAAGGCGAGUCUCUGGACAUUUCCUGACGCUGAGACACGAAAGCCAGGGGAGCAAACAGG
rnacentral:rRNA from 1 species